rnacentral:rRNA from 1 species
AUUGAACGCUGGCGGCAUGCCUUACACAUGCAAGUCGAACGGUAACGCGGGGCAACCUGGCGACGAGUGGCGAACGGGUGAGUAAUGCAUCGGAACGUGCCCAGUUGUGGGGGAUAACUGCUCGAAAGCGCAGCUAAUACCGCAUACGACCUGAGGGUGAAAGCGGGGGAUCGCAAGACCUCACGCAAGUGGAGCGGCCGAUGUCGGAUUAGCCAGUUGGUGGGGUAAAGGCCCACCAAGGCGACGAUCCGUAGCUGGUCUGAGAGGACGACCAGCCACACUGGGACUGAGACACGGCCCAGACUCCUACGGGAGGCAGCAGUGGGGAAUUUUGGACAAUGGACGCAAGUCUGAUCCAGCCAUGCCGCGUGCGGGAAGAAGGCCUUCGGGUUGUAAACCGCUUUUGUCAGGGAAGAAAUCUUCUGGGUUAAUACCUCGGGAGGAUGACGGUACCUGAAGAAUAAGCACCGGCUAACUACGUGCCAGCCGCCGCCGUAAGAC